rnacentral:rRNA from 1 species
CACGUAGGGUGCGAGCGUUGUCCGGAAUUAUUGGGCGUAAAGAGCUCGUAGGCGGUGUGUCGCGUCGGCCGUGAAAACCUGCAGCUUAACUGUGGGCGUGCGGUCGAUAGGGGCAUCACUGGAGUUCGGCAGGGGAGACUGGAAUUCCUGGUGUAGCGGUGAAAUGCGCAGAUAUCAGGAGGAACACCGGUGGCGAAGGCGGGUCUCUGGGCCGAUACUGACGCUGAGGAGCGAAAGCGUGGGGAGCAAACAGG